GUCUAUGCGGUGUAGCAAGGGCUGCCCACCAAACCAGGGAGUAGCACCUUAGACCAUGCCCACUCAGCAACAGCAAUGACCUUGUCAUGCCAGGGACGAACACCUUAUACUACACUACUCAGCAACAGGACCAUAAGGUGCAGAGAGGACCUGCCCACGAGGGGGAUUGUCACCUUACGUAUGCCACACAAUUACAGAGCCAUGAAAAGACAGCUGCAAGAUGACACAGAUGGUUUCCCAAUGCGUAAAGAUUGAACACCAACCUCCGAGAUGAAUCAGAAGAGUAUGGCCACUAGAAGCACCUGCAUGGUUCGGACACGAGUGUAGUAAUAAAACCAU